rnacentral:rRNA from 1 species
AGUGAACGCUGGCGGUAGGCCUAACAUAUGCAAGUCGAACGGCAGCACAGUAAGAGCUUGCUCUUACGGGUGGCGAGUGGCGGACGGGUGAGGAAUACAUCGGAAUCUACUUUUUCGUGGGGGAUAACGUAGGGAAACUUACGCUAAUACCGCAUACGACCUACGGGUGAAAGCAGGGGAUCUUCGGACCUUGCGCGAUUGAAUGAGCCGAUGUCGGAUUAGCUAGUUGGCGGGGUAAAGGCCCACCAAGGCGACGAUCCGUAGCUGGUCUGAGAGGAUGAUCAGCCACACUGGAACUGAGACACGGUCCAGACUCCUACGGGAGGCAGCAGUGGGGAAUAUUGGACAAUGGGCGAAAGCCUGAUCCAGCAAUACCGCGUGGGUGAAGAAGGCCUUCGGGUUGUAAAGCCCUUUUGUUGGGAAAGAAAAGCAGCAGGUUAAUACCCCGCUGUUCUGACGGUACCCAAAGAAUAAGCACCGGCUAGCUUCGUG